UACGGAGGGUGCAAACGUUGUUCGGAAUUACUGGGCGUAAAGCGCGUGUAGGCGGCACAGUAAGUCAGGUGUGAAAUCCCUUGGCUUAACCAAGGAAGUGCACUUGAAACUACUGAGCUAGAGUACGGGAGAGGGUAGUAGAAUUCCCGGUGUAGAGGUGAAAUUCGUAGAUAUCGGGAGGAAUACCGGUGGCGAAGGCGGCUACCUGGACCGAUACUGACGCUGAGACGCGAAAGCGUGGGGAGCAAACAGG
rnacentral:rRNA from 1 species